GAUGAACGCUGGCGGCGUGCCUAAUACAUGCAAGUCGAGCGAACAGAUGAGGAGCUUGCUCCUCUGACGUUAGCGGCGGACGGGUGAGUAACACGUGGAUAACCUACCUAUAAGACUGGGAUAACUUCGGGAAACCGGAGCUAAUACCGGAUAAUAUAUUGAACCGCAUGGUUCAAUAGUGAAAGACGGUUUUGCUGUCACUUAUAGAUGGAUCCGCGCCGCAUUAGCUAGUUGGUAAGGUAACGGCUUACCAAGGCAACGAUGCGUAGCCGACCUGAGAGGGUGAUCGGCCACACUGGAACUGAGACACGGUCCAGACUCCUACGGGAGGCAGCAGUAGGGAAUCUUCCGCAAUGGGCGAAAGCUUGACGGAGCAACGCCGCGGGAGUGAUGAAGGUCUUCGGAUCGUAAAACUCUGUUAUUAGGGAAGAACAAAUGUGUAAGUAACUAUGCACGUCUUGACGGUACCUAAUCAGAAAGCCACGGCUAACUACGUG
rnacentral:rRNA from 1 species